rnacentral:rRNA from 1 species
AGCGAACGCUGGCGGCAGGCCUAACACAUGCAAGUCGAACGAACCUUUCGGGGUUAGUGGCGGACGGGUGAGUAACACGUGGGAACGUGCCUUUAGGUUCGGAAUAACUCAGGGAAACUUGUGCUAAUACCGAAUGUGCCCUUCGGGGGAAAGAUUAAUCGCCUUUAGAGCGGCCCGCGUCUGUUUAGCUAGUUGGUUGAGGUAAUGGCUCACCAAGGCGACGAUCAGUAGCUGGUCUGAGAGGAUGAUCAGCCACAUUGGGACUGAGACACGGCGCAAAAUCCUACGGGAGGCAGCAGUGGGGAAUCUUGCGCAAUGGGCGAAAGCCUGACGCAGCCAUGCCGCGUGAAUGAUGAAGGUCUUAGGAUUGUAAAAUUCUUUCACCGGGGACGAUAAUGACGGUACCCGGAGAAGAAGCCCCGGCUAACUUCGUG